GGUUUUUGAUUGCAUAGUCGCCGCACUGUCUCUCCCAAAGAUUGAUUGAAGCAGAUAUUAAUGCUUGCAAUCCUCUUCCAUGGAUUGCUGGUUUGGCUUUUCUGUUACAUUU